UGUUAAAAAUUUCAUUCAUUUCUACUGUUAAAAAUUAGUGUGGCUAACAAAAUAAUCAGACGCCUACGUGUACCUCAUUAUGACAUACAAAAACUAAUUUUUAAUGAUAGAAAUGGAUUAAAUUUUUAGCA
rfam:Gossypium raimondii Chr05_contig_1177, whole genome shotgun sequence.